rnacentral:rRNA from 1 species
AUUGAACGCUGGCGGCAUGCUUUACACAUGCAAGUCGAACGGUAACAGGCCUUCGGGUGCUGACGAGUGGCGCACGGGUGCGUAAUGCAUCGGAACGUACCCAGAGGUGGGGGAUAACGCAGCGAAAGCUGUGCUAAUACCGCAUGUGAUCUGAGGAUGACAGCGGGGGACCGCGCAGCAAUGUUUGGCCUCGCGCCUUUGGAGCGGCCGAUGUCGGAUUAGCUAGUUGGUGGGGUAAAGGCCUACCAAGGCGACGAUCCGUAGCUGGUCUGAGAGGACGACCAGCCACACUGGGACUGAGACACGGCCCAGACUCCUACGGGAGGCAGCAGUGGGGAAUUUUGGACAAUGGGCGCAAGCCUGAUCCAGCAAUGCCGCGUGCGGGAAGAAGGCCUUCGGGUUGUAAACCGCUUUUGGCAGGAACGAAACGGUGUCCGCUAAUACCGGGCGCUAAUGACGGUACCUGCAGAAUAAGCACCGGCUAACUACGUG